UACGGGGGGGGCAAGCGUUGUUCGGAAUUACUGGGCGUAAAGGGCGCGUAGGCGGCCUGCUAAGUCGAACGUGAAAUCCCCGGGCUCAACCCGGGAACUGCGUCCGAUACUGGCAGGCUUGAAUCCGGGAGAGGGAUGUGGAAUUCCAGGUGUAGCGGUGAAAUGCGUAGAUAUCUGGGAGGAACACCGGUGGCGAAGGCGGCAUCCUGGACCGGCAUUGACGCUGAGGCGCGAAAAGCCAGGGGAGCAAACGGG
rnacentral:rRNA from 1 species